UUAUCGAAUUUUAUAUUUAUUUUUAUUUUGGUUGGAUUGGAUGGAUGGUAAUUGGAAUGGAUAGAGAGAUAAUGGCUUGAGCAGCUAGCUUGUAGACGUUCGCUUGCUUGCACAAUCGUCUUCUGUUCAUCUUUCUUCAAUAGAUUCUGGUUUCUUUCAUUAGUUUGCCCAUGAAACCGUUCUUUUUAGCUUCUUUUAGUCUUAUGUCUUGGGUUCAUAGACCUUCCACAUGCUUCAUUUUCUUAAUGUUUGAUUGAUUUGAGGAAUUUUACCAGUCCUAUGAACUAGAUUUUCUUGUCAGGUUCUCGGUUGCUGUGAGAGUUGAGUUGGGUUUCUGAUUUGAUUGCUAAAUUUCGAAUCUUUUUGUUGUUCUUAGCUACCUUUGGGUGGUAGCCGAACAGGAUAAGAUCAAAUUCUAUUCAGAAUUAGAAACUUCCUGGGGAUUCUUUACUUCCCUUUAUCUUCUUCUGUUUUGGGUCUUCUCUGUUGCAUUCUUGAGUUUGGAGUUAGGUGAGCUUUAGUUAAUCUUACACCUCCUCUCUUUUUCUCUUGUUCAAAGUUGGGGUUUUUUUUAUGCUGGGUUUUACUAUGACAGUCUCUGUAGAUUUGAUAGUUGGUCUCUCUCUCCUCACCUAAUUCAUUUCUAGCUGGAAUUAACAAGAAGACCCACUUCUACUUCGUUACUAUUUAAAGUUAGCUGGAGUUAACUGGUUACUUUUCUUUCUUCCUUGGAUGAAUCUGCUUCCUGUAUUUGGGUUUGGUCUAAAGGUGGGGCACUCACUUUGGAUGCUAUGUUGCUGGAUUGUUUCUGUGGUUUCCAUGAACUGUUUAAUACAUGGUGGAAUUGAAGAUACUAAAACUGGUUUUCUUGGUGAUGGUACUAAGAUGUGGGCGGAAUUCUCGGAGAGGAUCUUGGGGAAGAGCUGGAAGAUCCACAAUCUUUAUUACCAGUCUAUUGGGUCCAAGAAAGUUAGAAUAAUAUGGUGGAGAAGGGUCUUGGUGGCAUGGCUGGUUUUUUGGGCCUUGGCAUCUAUGUGGGUCUUUUGGUACAUGAGCGGACAAACUACUGAAAGGAGGAAAGAAGCUCUCGCUAGUAUGUGCGAUGAGAGGGCUAGGAUGUUACAGGAUCAGUUUAAUGUAAGCAUGAAUCAUGUUCAGGCUAUGUCCAUAUUGAUCUCCACUUUCCACCAUGGCAAGAACCCAUCUGCUAUUGAUCAGAGGACUUUUGCAAGGUAUACUGAAAGAACUGCUUUUGAGAGGCCUCUCACAAGUGGCGUGGCAUAUGCGGUAAGGGUUCUCCACUCUGAAAGGGAACAAUUUGAAAAGCAACAAGGCUGGACUAUUAAGAGGAUGGAUGCAUUUGAGCAUAAUCCAGUUCACAAGGAUGACUAUAACCCAGAAGCUUUGGAGCCAUCCCCAAUUCAAGAAGAAUACGCUCCUGUUAUCUUUGCACAGGAUACCAUUUCUCAUGUGGUUUCUCUUGAUAUGCUUUCAGGAAAAGAGGAUCGUGAAAAUGUGUUACGAGCAAGAGAAUCAGGAAAAGGAGUCUUAACUGCACCUUUCAGGUUACUCAAAUCAAAACGGCUUGGAGUUAUUUUGACAUUUGCUGUCUACAAGAGGGAUCUCCCCUCAAAUGCAACCCCAGAUGACAGGAUUGAAGCUACUGAUGGGUAUCUUGGUGGAGUCUUUGACAUUGAAUCACUUGUGGAGAAAUUACUUCAACAGCUUGCAAGCAAACAAACCAUCUUUGUCAAUGUAUAUGAUACUACCAAUCCGUCUGACCCAAUUAGCAUGUAUGGUUCAAAUGUAUCAAAUGAUGAAUUGGAGCAUGUGAGCUCCCUUAAUUUUGGAGAUCCCUAUAGAAAGCAUGAGAUGCGUUGCAGAUUCAAGCAGAAAGCACCAUGGCCAUGGCUAGCAAUAACAACUUCUUUUGCCAUCAUUGUGAUUGCAUCUCUUGUUGGACAAAUAUUCUAUGCAACUGUGAGUCGAAUUGUUAAAGUUGAAGACGAUUAUAAAGAGAUGAUGGAACUCAAGGCAAAGGCAGAGGCAGCUGAUGUUGCAAAGUCACAGUUCCUUGCUACUGUUUCUCAUGAGAUCAGAACCCCAAUGAAUGGUGUUCUAGGAAUGCUGGAUAUGCUUAUGGACACAAAUUUAGAUGGAACUCAACAAGAUUAUGUCACAACUGCACAAGGCAGUGGAAGAACACUCGUUUCUCUUAUAAAUGAGGUUUUAGAUCAAGCAAAGGUUGAAUCUGGUAAGCUGGAGCUUGAGGAAGUGAGUUUUGAUCUGCGGGCAAUUUUGGAUGAUGUUUUAUCUCUAUUUUCUGGAAAGUCUCAAGAGAAAGGAGUAGAGUUAGAGUUGGCAGUUUAUAUCUCUGAUCGUGUUCCUAAAAUUCUAGUUGGUGAUCCAAAGAGAUUUCGACAGAUAAUCAGCAAUCUCAUGGGGAAUUCAAUCAAAUUCACGAAGGCAGGACACAUCUUUAUUACUGUCCAUCUUGUUGAGGAGGUGAUGGACUUUACAGAAGCUGAGACUGUAUUAUCAUCAAAGAACACCUUGAGUGGCAAUCUUGUUGCUGAUAGACGCUGCAGCUGGAAAGGAUUUAGGGCUUUCAAUCAAGAUGGAUCCACUUGUUCUUUCAAAUCAUCCUCUUCUGAUUUUGUCAAUAUAAUUGUGUCAGUUGAAGACACAGGAGAAGGAAUUCCUCUGGAAGGCCAAUCUCGUAUUUUCACCCCUUUUAUGCAGGUUGGUCCAUCAAUUUCCCGAUUACAUGGAGGUACAGGCAUUGGGCUUAGCAUAAGCAAGUAUUUGGUUAGCCGCAUGAAUGGGGAGAUUGGAUUUGUCAGUGUUCCAGAAAUCGGUUCAACUUUUACAUUUACUGCUGUCCUAGGAAAUGGUUCCUCCAAUUCAAAUGAGCAGCAGAGCCAGCAAAUGAAUGGCCAGUCUAACUCUGUAUCCUCAGAACUUAAAGGCAUGACAGCAUUGCUUGUGGACCACAGACCUACGCGGGCGAAGGUGUCGAGAUACCAUAUUGAACGUAUUGGAAUACAUGUUGAAGUAGUUUUUGAUUUGAAUGAAGGUAUAUCUUGCAUAGGCUGUGGGAAUAUGGUUAUCAACAUGGUCCUUGUUGAACAAGAAGUCUGGGAGAGGGAUGCAAGUACUUCAACCCUAUUUACUGAUAACUUGAGAAAAUUUGAACAUGGGGCUCCAAAAAUGUUCCUUCUUGCUAAACAUACCAGCUUUUCAAGAAUUAACACUACAAUUUCUGGUGUUUAUAGCCCAACUGUAAUCAUGAAGCCGCUGAGGGCCAGCAAAGUUGCUGCAGAUCUUCAACGAGCCUUGGGUAUUGGGAAUAAGGGCAAUCCCAUUCCAAGUCUGUCUCUCCGUAAUCUUCUUCUUGGGAGAAAAAUUUUAAUUGUAGAUGACAACAAGGUGAAUCUCAGAGUAGCUGCUGGUGCUUUGAAAAAAUAUGGAGCUGAUGUUGAAUGUGCGGAGAGUGGAAUGGAAGCUACCAAUAUGCUUAAGCCACCUCAUUCCUUUCAUGCCUGCUUCAUGGACAUCCAGAUGCCACGAAUGGAUGGGUUUCAAGCUACAAGGAUUAUUAGAGAGGAGGAACACCGAUACAACAAUUCUAUUCAUCGUGAUGACAAUGUUUCAAACUGGCAUGUACCCAUUUUGGCCAUGACUGCUGAUGUGAUCCAAGCUACACACGAGGAAUGCCUAAAGUGUGGGAUGGACGGAUAUGUUUCAAAACCGUUCGAAGCUGAACAAUUAUAUAGGGAAGUUUCACGUGUUGUUCCGUUGCUUUGAGAUUGGAAUCUGCAGAGGGGAAUUCUAUUGAAGAAGGCAUAUGGAUAAACAUUAGCACAAAGGCACCUGUUCUCCAGGAGGCUUUAGUUGCUUAAAUGAGUUUGGAGUUCUUCCCAAGAGAAAUUAUAUGUUUCGCAGCAGAGAGUGUAUAUAGAAGCCAUGUUUAUUUGAAGUGGGAUUGAGGCUUUAUUCAUUGGUACUCGAGAAAGAUAACAAAGGCAGUUCAGUAAUAUGAGAUUGCUGUGCAAAAUUGAAACUCUUCUUUGACAGGACACUAGAUUUACUUAAGGAUUACAACUACUUGAAAAUAUAUAUAGGAAGAGAUCCCCAGGAGUGUACUUAGAAGUAGGAGCUAGCUAUGCAGUUCUUCUGUCGUCUUCCCCCUUUUAACAAUAAAAAAACUGCUUCGAUUUAGAUUGAUUCGGUUGAAAGAAAUCAACCGAGGGAAGAAUGCUUCAUGUAAAUAUUAUCACAUUAAUAAAAAUGAUGGUUAUCGUGUAAUCAUAUAAAUAUACCAAGUUCUAAUUUUGCCAAGAGCUUGGUGUAGGAGGCAUCAUUGUAACAACUGCAGUGACAGAGUAAUCAAAUUUGAGUAAUCUUUAAUGAUUUUGUUUGUUGGAA